rnacentral:rRNA from 1 species
CAGCCGCCACGGUAAUACGAAGGGGGCUAGCGUUGCUCGGAAUUACUGGGCGUAAAGGGAGCGUAGGCGGAUCGUUAAGUUGGGGGUGAAAGCCCGGGGCUCAACCUCGGAACUGCCUUCAAUACUGGCGAUCUUGAGUAUGAGAGAGGUGAGUGGAACUCCGAGUGUAGAGGUGAAAUUCGUAGAUAUUCGGAAGAACACCAGUGGCGAAGGCGACUCACUGGCUCAUUACUGACGCUGAGGCUCGAAAGCGUGGGGAGAAAACAGGAUUAGAGACCCCUGUAGUCCCUGUCUCUUAUAC